GCUUAGUUAUUGCAGUUGAAUUUAUAAUCAAAUUUCAUUUUGCCUCUAGAAAUAAUACACAAGUUGCAGGCAUAAAUAUCAUAUGAGUGGUUUGCAAAUUGAACAACAACAGAUUGAAUGUAUGCCUCAAAUAAAAUGGAACUCCUUAAAUUAAUGAGAUAAGUCGGACACUAAAUCGAAGAAUUUAAAAUGUUAAAUUGCAAAAGCAUGGCAACCAUUAAGCACUCCAAUAUAAUCUCAUGCUCUUUGGGGAGAAGUUGUCAUCAGCGUCAAACGUUACCCCAGCCAACAAUUACCAAUUAAAACCCCAAAGCGCGCAACUCAAUUUCGUGCAACACAUACACACACACACGCACAAACAUAUGUACAUGCACAUAUUCGUAUAGUACGGUACUCUUAUACAUAUAUAGCGCAUAGACAAAGGCAAUUUCAUAUAGUAUUUCCAGAUAACUGACUUCGAUAGCAAACCGCAACAGCAAGAAUGACAAAAGAACAAGACAAGAAUAACAAGAAAAACAACAGACACAACAACGAGAAUGGCAACAAUGGCCACUGUGAAAACUGUGAAGAGACAAAAAGGACCCGAGCCAAGUUUUGUGGAUUCGCUCAGCGCAGCUCAACGCUCUUUCAACUAAAAACUUGUUACGUAUUUAAUUGCAAUUAAAAAGUU